UGUCUGUGCCCAGGUUUCUCUACUAUUCACAUGCACAUAAAUAUAAGAGAUUUGGUUAGUUUGCAACUUUAAAUUGCUUCAUAGAUCAUUAUAGAAAUCUUGUAUUUAAACUUCAGAACUAUAAAAGAAAGGCCUCUGGGGCACAAGGAGCCACAAGCAAUGUAAAAUUGGCUUUACUCAAUUCUCUUAAGGUUAGGCUUUAAAUAUGUAAAAAAAAGAACUUAAUUGGUCUCCUAUAACCAUUUAGUUUGUCUUAGGAGGAAGUUUUUAGAGGUAAGGG
rnacentral:misc_RNA from 1 species